rnacentral:rRNA from 1 species
UACAGAGGGUCUCAAGCGUUGUUCGGAUUCAUUGGGCGUAAAGGGUGCGUAGGCGGCGCGGUAAGUCGGGUGUGAAAUCUUGGAGCUUAACUCCGAAACUGCAUUCGAUACUGCCGUGCUUGAGGACUGGAGAGGAGACUGGAAUUUACGGUGUAGCGGUGAAAUGCGUAGAUAUCGAUAAGGAAGACCAGUGGCGAAGGCGGGUCUCUGGACAGUUCCAUGACACUGGAGAACACGGAAGGCCCAGGGGAGCAAACGGGA